UACGUAGGGGGCGAGCGUUGUCCGGAAUUAUUGGGCGUAAAGCGCGCGCAGGCGGCCGUUUAAGUUUGGUGUAACAGCCCUGGGCUCAACCGAGGGAGGCACUGAAAACUGGACGGCUUGAGUGCAGGAGAGGAAAGUGGAAUUCCACGUGUAGCGGUGAAAUGCGUAGAGAUGUGGAGGAACACCAGUGGCGAGGGCGGCUUUCUGGCCUGUAACUGACGCUGAGGCGCGAAAGCGUGGGUAGCGAACAGG
rnacentral:rRNA from 1 species